rnacentral:rRNA from 1 species
UACAGAGGGGGCAAGCGUUAUUCGGAAUUAUUGGGCGUAAAGGGCGCGUAGGCGGCUUGGCAAGUGGAAGGUGAAAUCCCUCGGCUUAACCGAGGAACUGCCCUCCAAACUGCUUGGCUUGAGACCGGGAGAGGUGAGUGGAAUUCCCAGUGUAGCGGUGAAAUGCGUAGAGAUCGGGAGGAACAUCAGUGGCGAAGGCGGCCAUCUGGAUCAACACUGACGCUGAGGCACGAAAGCGUGGGGAGCAAACAGG